rnacentral:rRNA from 1 species
CCAGACUCCUACGGGAGGCAGCAGUGGGGAAUAUUGCACACUGGGCGAAAGCCUUCUGCAACAACUCCGCUUGAAGGAAGACGGUUUUCGGAUUGUCCCCUUCUAUCCAUCUUUAAGAAAGACCUGCCGGUACCUCCCUCCUAAGCCCCUUCUCCCUACGUGCCCUCCUCCGCGGUACUCCUUCGGGGGCACUCUUUAUCCGGAAUGCCUGGGUGUAAAGGGAGAGUAGGCGGCAAGGUAAGCGAUAUUUGAAAGCCUGAGGAGUAACCAAAGGAUUGCAUAACGAACUAUCUAGCUAGAGUACAGGAGAGGAAAGCGGAAUGCCUAGUGUAGCGGUGAAAUGCGUAGAGAGGAGGAAGAACACCAGUGGCGAAGGCGGCUUUCUGGACUGAAACUGACGCUGAGGCACGAAGGCCAGUGGAGCGAAAGGGAUUAGAUACCCUGGUA